AUGAACCACAGCCGCCUCCUUCACAGCUUCCCAGGUAACAGAGCAGGGCAGGCUGGACCCGGUGCUUUCAUAACAAACCUGUUUUCUUUCUGUCAGCCACCCGCUGCCCCUGGGCAGGGCAAGGCCCGGCAGAAAAGGCUCCGGGGGGGGGGGGGGGGAAGCUGCCGUUCCAUCGCAGCAAUUAACCGCUUCGGAGCCCCGGGUCGGCUGGCAGCACCGGCUGUGCACGCUUCGGGUCACUUUUCAAGAGGAGGGGAACCCCACCAUAGCCGGGUUCAGGAGCCCAGGCAAAUUCCAUGCACCACCCCAGCAGCCAGACCGCACCUGAGCUGCAGCUCCAACUUGAAUGCGAUUUUUGCUCAACCCAGCUGCCCCAACCUCUUUAUGCUGGCUUGGCAAGCAGGGGAACGGGAAAGGACCUGCUGUGCUGGGUGCUCUCACACUGCCUGCACUGUGGGACAAGCAGGUUGGCACCUACAAGCCACCAGGACUGGCGGGAGGGGAAUUGCAGGAGCUGACCUCAUUCAUGCUGGAGGCUUUGCAGUUAGGGCAGAGCACAGUCCAGCACAGCUGCUUCUACAGCUGUAGCAUGGGUUCAGACCAAGCCCAGGGACCAACCCUCAGCACAGCAGCGUUACAGAUUUUGAAAUACUUGACCUAGCAAUUAAAUAAGGCCACUAUGAGAUACCACAGCCCAGCAGAGAGCCCAGGGACACCUCAUCCCUCCUGGAAGCGAUGCUCUGGGGUGGCAGCAGUGAGUUCCCAAAGCAGCUCUGGGAAGCCAAGAGCACGUGGCCCAUCACCACCAGUUGCCCACGGAGCCCCCAGCACGGACCAGCUUUCUCCGAGGAGCUGGUGGAGAUAUCCACAGCCUCCAACAAACCCUACACCAGGGACCUGGUCCCAUUUGAAGCAAAAAAAGAUUGGAGGGAUCUUCUCUUGCAUUUUCCCUGGGACAAUUCACCUACAAACCAAACACCAGCAUGGGGAGGGAGCCCGGCUGCUCGACCCACAGCCAGACCAGGGGGGCAGAGGCAGCUUUCCCAGACAGAAAGAGAGCUCAGAGCUGUCCUUUAGCCUGGCACUCACCUCCCCACUGUCUCCAAGUGAUAUUUGUUCCUGUUCCCAGCCCAAGAGCCAUCACAGAGCCAUCACAGCCCCCAGGCCAUGGUUAUGAGGUCCUCAGGUGGGGUGGUCAGUGUGGGUCCCUCACAGCCCCAGAUGACAGCUGGUGCUGAGCACAGCCAGGUUUCGUGAGCAGAUGCACCCUCUGAUUUCAGCCCUGGGUCCAGGAAAGCCCCCAGCUUCCCAAAGUGCUCCCAGGUGGGAUUGGUUGAAAACUUCACCCCCCCACCCUUCCCAAAAUGGCAGCUCCUACACUUGCAGCAGUUCCAUCUCAUGGCUUUAGCAUCCUGCAGUGGUUUUGCAGGGAAUCCACGUUCUCCAGUGUGUACAUACACCAGAAGCAAUGCGGUGCCAUCCCUGCAGAGCAUCGCCCUGGCAGCUCUGGGUGCACAAGCAAACCACACCAAGACCAGUGGGGAUGCUGAGCCUUCCCACCAACAGCUACAGCUCUGCUCACACCGUC
ensembl:lncRNA